rnacentral:rRNA from 1 species
AGUGAACGCUGGCGGUAGGCCUAACACAUGCAAGUCGAACGGCAGCACAGUAAGAGCUUGCUCUUACGGGUGGCGAGUGGCGGACGGGUGAGGAAUACAUCGGAAUCUACUUUUUCGUGGGGGAUAACGUAGGGAAACUUACGCUAAUACCGCAUACGACCUACGGGUGAAAGCAGGGGAUCUUCGGACCUUGCGCGAUUGAAUGAGCCGAUGUGGGAUUAGCUAGUUGGCGGGGUAAAGGCCCACCAAGGCGACGAUCCGUAGCUGGUCUGAGAGGAUGAUCGGCCACACUGGAACUGAGACACGGUCCAGACUCCUGCGAGAGGCAGCAGUGGGGAAUAUUAGGCAAUGGGCGCAAGCCUGGUACAGCCAGACCGCGUGGGUGAAGAAGGCCUUCGGGUUGUAAAGCCCUUUUGUUGGGAAAGAAAAGCAGCAGGUUAAUACCCCGCUGUUCUGACGGUACCCAGUGAAUAAGCACCGGCUAACUUCGUG